UCCGGUGAUGAAUCCUCUGAAGACUCUCAGC
rnacentral:piRNA from 1 species